GACGAACGCUGGCGGUGUGCUUCACACAUGCAAGUCGAACGAGGUAGCAAUACCUAGUGGCGGACGGGUGAGUAACGCGUGGGAAUCUGCCUUUAGAUGGGGGGAUAACGGGUCGAAAGACUCGCUAAUACCGCAUAUGACGAAAGUUGAAAGGAGUAAUCCGUCUAAAGAUGAGCCCGCGUCCGAUUAGCUAGUUGGUAGAGUAAAAGCCUACCAAGGCGACGAUCGGUAGCUGGUCUGAGAGGAUGAUCAGCCACAAAUGGGACUGAGACACGGCCCAUACUCCUACGGGAGGCAGCAGUGGGGAAUUUUACGCAAUGGGCGAAAGCCUGACGUAGCGACACCGCGUGAGCGAAGAAGCCCCUUGGGGUGUAAAGCUCUGUCAGCUGGACGAAAAAAAUGACGGUACCAGCAGAGGAAGCAUCGGCUAACUACGUGCCAGCAGCCGCGGUAAUGUCUGUACU
rnacentral:rRNA from 1 species